rnacentral:tRNA from 1 species
GCGAUCGUAGCUCAGUCGGUAGAGCACCUGACUUUUAAUCAGGGUGGCGUGGAUUCGAGUUCCGCCGGUCGCA